rnacentral:lncRNA from 1 species
CACAAACACGAAGAAGACGCAUUGGAGCGUACGAAGGGCUCAGCCACGCUAGACAGAUCUGGUGGUUGUUUGUUUGCAAGUGGGAUGAUGUUAGACAAAUGUCAUAGCCCCUCUGGACUCCAGAGUCUAUCCAUAGCAGGAACUGGCUAAAGGGAGGCUUAGAAGAUACUGUUAGCAUUUCGUCUAAGCUCCGCCCCACAGUUACCUGGAGAUGGCCAGGCAUGCGCACUCACUUAUAAGGGGCCGCUCUUCUCACUCUGCUCUCUUGCUCUUGCCUUCUAAUAUAUACUGUGUGUGAAGUCGGCUAUGUGCUGCUCAUAAGCGCUUCCAGAUGCAAGGAUGCAGUCAUCUGUCUUUCAUGGAAUGGGGUAAGGGCCAGGCUUGCAGGUAGCCCCGGGAAGAGAGAAACUUCUACUAACGGGAGAGGGAAGGGUCUGGACCACCGAGGAUUGCCUGAAGGUUGGUGCUACAGAAGCGGCAGCAGCUCCCCCCUCUGUGAUGCAGACUAUUUUGACUUCCAACAGUGGCUUAAUGUCUCUGCCCAGGUGACAAGUGACUGUAAUAAAAGCAAAGCCUGCCUCCUUAUGUAUGAUCCCCCUCUCACCUAGACACAAACACUUAGAUCUCUACCACCACCCCUGCCAAGACAUAGUUACACAGAAAGGAAUGUUAUUUGGAUAAGACCUGGCCCCGGGCUCUGCCUUGCUCAUCACUAGAGCACAUGGUUAGAAACUAGGGUUUUUGGUUUUGUUUUGGUUUUUGUUUGUUUAUUUGUUUGUUUUUGUUUUUUGGAGACAGAGUUUCUCUGUAUAGCCCUGGCUGUCCUGGAACUUACUUUGUAGACCAGGCUGGCCUCGAACUCAGAAAUCCACCUGCCUCUGCCUCCGAGUGCUAGGAUUAAAGGCAUGUGCCACCAUGCCCGGCUAGAAACUAGUUUUUAAGAGGAAAAAACCCCCGGUGUUAAAUUCCAUUUGUUCAAUACUGGGUUUUAUGUCUCUCUCUUCUCUCUCUCCCCCUCCCCCUCCCUCCCCCCCCUCCGUCUCCGUCUCCUCUCCCUCCCCCCUCUUUCUCUCUCUCUCUCUCUCCCCCUCUCUCUCCCCUUUCUUCCUUUUUUUUUUUAUUUAUUUUGUGGCUGACUCUAGUGGAUAACUUACCAAUCAUCUGCUAGCUUUGUCAACCCAAGGAGCCUUCUGUCCCCUCAAGUGAAUAUGGCUUAGGUCAGACCCAACUUUCCUCUUCAGAAUGGCACCUACUCCUAACCUCCAUGUGUCCAUCAACUCUCAUGACUGAAUGCUGUCAUUCUAUGCCAUUAGUGAUUAUAGAAACUUCCCCUUCCUGGUACUCCCCAGACGUAAGACAAGACCGCAUUACUGCUCAUUACCACAACCAGCUCCUAGCUUGUCUCACAUGCAGCCUUCUCUACUCUAACCCUUUUUAAACAGAUCAUGCCCAAUUACCUUUCCUGAGGCACAAUCAUCACUGUUUGUAGUGGGCAUGUGUUCUUUGUGGGUAUUCAAUAUCAUUGAACAUCCUUCCAUAUUCUGGACUAUGUCUUUCUAAAGCAGAAGAUUCAUAUUCCCUGACUCCCUUGCAGCUAAGAUAUAGUCA